UAUUGGACAAUGGGGGCAACCCUGAUCCAGCCAUGCCGCGUGUGUGAAGAAGGCCUUUUGGUCGUAAAGCACUUUAAGUAGGGAAGAAGACUCCGUGGUUAAUACCCACGGACGAUGACAUUAGCUGCAGAAUAAGCACAGGCUAACUCUGUGCCAGCCGCCGCGGUAAUACAGAGGGUGCAAGCGUUAAUCGGAAUUACUGGGCGUAAAGCGAGCGUAGGUGGCUUGAUAAGUCAGAUGUGAAAUCCCCGGGCUUAACCUGGGAACUGCAUCUGAUACUGUUAGGCUAGAACAGGUGAGAGGAAGGUAGAAUCCCAGGUGUAGCGGUGAAAUGCGUAGAGAUCUGGAGGAAUACCGAUGGCGAAGGCAGCCUUCUGGCAUCAUAUUGACACUGAGGUUCGAAAGCGUGGGUAGCAAACAG
rnacentral:rRNA from 1 species